CCUACGGGAGACAGCAGUGAGGAAUAUUGGUCAAUGGGCGGGAGCCUGAACCCGCCCAGUCGCGUGAAGGAAGAAGGUACUUAGUAUUGUAAACUUCUUUUGUCGGGGAACAAAGGCGGAGACGCGUCUCCGGAUGAGUGUACCCGACGAACAAGCAUCGGCUAACUCCGUGCCAGCAGCCGCGGUAAUACGUAGGUGGCAAGCGUUGUCCGGAUUUACUGGGUGUAAAGGGCGUGUAGCCGGGAAGGCAAGUCAGAUGUGAAAUCUGGAGGCUCAACCUCCAAAUUGCAUUUGAAACUGUUUUUCUUGAGUACUGGAGAGGCAGACGGAAUUCCUUGUGUAGCGGUGAAAGGCGUAGAUAUAAGGAGGAACACCAGUGGCGAAGGCGGUCUGCUGGACAGCAACUGACGGUGAGGCGCGAAAGCGUGGGGAGCAAACAGGAUUAGAUACCCUUGUAGUC
rnacentral:rRNA from 1 species